rnacentral:rRNA from 1 species
CAGUAGCCGCGGUAAUACGUAGGGUGCAAGCGUUAAUCGGAAUUACUGGGCGUAAAGCGUGCGCAGGCGGUUAUAUAAGACAGAUGUGAAAUCCCCGGGCUCAACCUGGGAACUGCAUUUGUGACUGUAUAGCUAGAGUACGGCAGAGGGGGAUGGAAUUCCGCGUGUAGCAGUGAAAUGCGUAGAUAUGCGGAGGAACACCGAUGGCGAAGGCAAUCCCCUGGGCCUGUACUGACGCUCAUGCACGAAAGCGUGGGGAGCAAACAGGAUUAGAGACCCCAGUAGUCCCUGUCUCUUAUAC